rnacentral:rRNA from 1 species
CAGCAGCCGCGGUAAUACGUAGGUGGCGAGCGUUGUCCGGAAUUACUGGGUGUAAAGGGAGCGCAGGCGGGGAGACAAGUCAGCUGUGAAAACUAACGGCUUAACCGAUAGAGUGCAGUUGAAACUGUUUUUCUUGAGUGGAGCAGAGGCAGGCGGAAUUCCGAGUGUAGCGGUGAAAUGCGUAGAUAUUCGGAGGAACACCAGUGGCGAAGGCGGCCUGCUGGGCUUUAACUGACGCUGAGGCUCGAAAGUGUGGGGAGCAAACAGGAUUAGAUACCCUGGUAGUCCACACUGUAAACGAUGAUUGCUAGGUGUGGGGGGUCUGACCCCCUCCGUGCCGGAGCUAACGCAAUAAGCAAUCCACCUGGGGAGUACGGCCGCAAGGUUGAAACUCAAAGGAAUUGACGGGGGCCCGCACAAGCAGUGGAUUAUGUGGUUUAAUUCGAAGCAACGCGAAGAACCUUACCAGGUCUUGACAUCCGGCUAACGAGGCAGAGAUGCGUCAGGUGCCCUUCGGGGAAAGUCGAGACAGGAGGUGCAUGGCC